UACGAAGGGGGCUAGCGUUGUUCGGAAUUACUGGGCGUAAAGCGCGCGCAGGCGGUCUUCCAAGUCAGUGGUGAAAGCCCGGAGCUCAACUCCGGAAUUGCCAUUGAAACUGUGAGACUGGAGUACGAGAGAGGUGAGUGGAAUUCCCAGUGUAGAGGUGAAAUUCGUAGAUAUUGGGAAGAACACCGGUGGCGAAGGCGGCGACCUGGUCCUUGACUGGACGCUGAGGCGCGAAAGCGUGGGGAGCAAACAGG
rnacentral:rRNA from 1 species